rnacentral:rRNA from 14 species
UUAAAUUGAAGAGUUUGAUCAUGGCUCAGAUUGAACGCUGGCGGCAGGCCUAACACAUGCAAGUCGAACGGUAACAGGAAGCAGCUUGCUGCUUUGCUGACGAGUGGCGGACGGGUGAGUAAUGUC